UACGUAGGGUGCAAGCGUUGUCCGGAAUUAUUGGGCGUAAAGAGCUCGUAGGCGGUCUGUCGCGUCGGAUGUGAAAAUCCAGGGCUCAACCCUGGACCUGCAUUCGAUACGGGCAGACUAGAGUCCGGAGGAGGAGAGUGGAAUUCCUGGUGUAGCGGUGAAAUGCGCAGAUAUCAGGAAGAACACCCGUGGCGAAGGCGGCUCUCUGGGACGGUACUGACGCUGAGACGCGAAAGCGUGGGGAGCGAACAGG
rnacentral:rRNA from 1 species